UACGAAGGGGGCGAGCGUUGUUCGGAAUCACUGGGCGUAAAGCGCACGUAGGCGGACUCUUAAGUCGGUGGUGAAAUCCUGGGGCUCAACUCCAGAACUGCCUUCGAUACUGAGAGUCUCGAGUCCGAGAGAGGUGAGUGGAACUGCGAGUGUAGAGGUGAAAUUCGUAGAUAUUCGCAAGAACACCAGUGGCGAAGGCGGCUCACUGGCUCGGUACUGACGCUGAGGUGCGAAAGCGUGGGGAGCAAACAGG
rnacentral:rRNA from 1 species